rnacentral:rRNA from 1 species
GAGUAACGCGUGAGUAACCUGCCUCAUACAGGGGAAUAACAGUUAGAAAUGACUGCUAAUGCCGCAUAAGCGCACAGGGCCACAUGGCCCGGUGUGAAAAACUCCGGUGGUAUGAGAUGGACUCGCGUCUGAUUAGCUAGUUGGCAGGGUAACGGCCUACCAAGGCGACGAUCAGUAGCCGGCCUGAGAGGGUGAACGGCCACAUUGGGACUGAGACACGGCCCAAACUCCUACGGGAGGCAGCAGUGGGGAAUAUUGCACAAUGGGGGAAACCCUGAUGCAGCGACGCCGCGUGAGUGAAGAAGUAUUUCGGUAUGUAAAGCUCUAUCAGCAGGGAAGAAAAUGACGGUACCUGACUAAGAAGCCCCGGCUAACUACGUGCCAGCAGCCGCGGUAAUACGUAGGGGGCAAGCGUUAUCCGGAUUUACUGGGUGUAAAGGGAGCGUAGACGGCUUUGCAAGUCUGACGUGAAACUCCGGGGCUCAACUCCGGAACUGCGUUGGAAACUGUAAGGCUUGAGUGCCGGAGAGGUAAGCGGAAUUCCUAGUGUAGCGGUGAAAUGCGUAGAUAUUAGGAGGAACACCAGUGGCGAAGGCGGCUUACUGGACGGCAACUGACGUUGAGGCUCGAAAGCGUGUGGAGCAAACAGGAUUAGAUACCCUGGUAGUCCACGCGGUAAACGAUGAAUACUAGGUGUUGGGGGACAAAG